UUCCCCUUACCUGUGUAAGUUCAUUGUUGUGUCCUACCUACCAGUCUUCCCUGUGUCCUCUGUGUUUCUGGUGGAUUCAGAUUUCUAAAAUUCCUCCUGAGGUAAUGCUGCCGGAUGAAAGUGUUGAUGAAGCAGCACAUGACUGAAAACCAGAGCACUUUUAACAGCUGAAAAAACCACUACAUCAUUUUGUAGCUGAUAAAUAAUGCCAAAACUGACAAAUCGCAGCAGAGCAACAAACGACACUUUAAGUCAGAAUCAGCAUUGUUACCGUCUGACAGCGAGUCUCACUGUUAAGCUCUGAGCUUAUUAAAAAAGACUGAGCACAUUCCUACAGUCCUAUCAGCUUCCAGCCCUUUAUCAUUCAGUAAAUCCUCUCUCUUAGUGACUGGGACACACGAAGGGGCAGCACUCUGGGGUGUCAUCCUAUGUCCUGGUGCUCCAUUUGAACUCAUCUAAUUGUGUCUCAUAGUUGUUUGAAGACCUCAUCAAGUGACUCAGGGAGGCCAAAAGAAAAAGCUGUUUUGUGUAGAAAGAUGGCCAUUAAAAUAUUAACCCUCCUGUUAUGUUCAGGGUCAGAUUGACCCUUUU